GGAUUGCCCUAGUAACGGCGAGUGAAGCGGCAACAGCUCAAAUUUGAAAUCUGGCUCUUUUAGGGUCCGAGUUGUAAUUUGCAGAGGGCGCUUUGGCGUUGGCAGCGGUCCAAGUUCUUUGGAACAGGACGUCACAGAGGGUGAGAAUCCCGUACGUGGUCGCUAGCCUUCGCCGUGUAAAGCCCCUUCGACGAGUCGAGUUGUUUGGGAAUGCAGCUCUAAAUGGGAGGUAAAUUUCUUCUAAAGCUAAAUACUGGCCAGAGACCGAUAGCGCACAAGUAGAGUGAUCGAAAGAUGAAAAGCACUUUGGAAAGAGAGUCAAAUAGCACGUGAAAUUGUUGAAAGGGAAGCGCUUGCAGCCAGACUUGCCUGUAGUUGCUUAUCCGGACUUUUGUCCGGUGCACUCUUCUGCGGGCAGGCCAGCAUCAGUUUAGGCGGUUGGAUAAAGGUCUCUAUCACGUACCUCCCUUCGGGGUUGGCCUUAUAGGGGAGACGACAUGCAACCAGCCUGAACUGAGGUCCGCGCAUCUGCUAGGAUGCUGGCGUAAUGGCUGUAAGCGGCCCGUCUUGAAACACGGACCAAGGAGUCUAACAUCUAUGCGAGUGUUUGGGUGUCAAGCCCAGACGCGUAAUGAAAGUGAACGGAGGUGGGAACCUUUUAGGUGCACCAUCGACCGAUCCUGAUGUCUUCGGAUGGAUUUGAGUAAGAGCAUGGCUGUUGGGACCCGAAAGAUGGUGAACUAUGCUUGAAUAGGGUGAAGCCAGAGGAAACUCUGGUGGAGGCUCGCAGCGGUUCUGACGUGCAAAUCGAUCGUCAAAUUUGGGCAUAGGGCGAAAGACUAAUCGAACUAUCUAGUAGCUGGUU
rnacentral:rRNA from 2 species